UGAAACACAACCGUGGGGCAACUUCCAGAGGGCAGUCCUGUGUACUGUGUCCUAGCUGUGCCCAGAGCUUCAGAGGGACCACAGGGCCACAGAAAGAAGGACAGAGCCUUAGGGAGGAGGGUGGCAGAAAGGGGAAAAACUUGGGGCCUCUCCUGCGGAGACAAUAAGUCAAGCAGAAACCAAGCUUUCCUGGUGCAUGGGGUGAGUGGGAGCCCCAGGGGGACUCCCCAGGGAGGCUGUGGUUUCUCAGAUCCCACAGAGUCAGCUUUGACCCGGAUCCAACAGCAUUUACAGGAAACCUGCACACGGGAAGGCCCUUGACCCAGAUGCCAGAGGUCUCUUCACCUUCUGGGCCCCUCAGCCAGGUGGAUACAGAUUUCUGAAAGCAUCUGAAAUAAACAGACUGUGUUUACCGUAGCCAUCAA
rnacentral:lncRNA from 1 species